rnacentral:rRNA from 1 species
AUUGAACGCUGGCGGCAGGCUUAACACAUGCAAGUCGAGCGAGCGGCGGACGGGUGAGUAAUGUCUGGGAAACUGCCUGAUGGAGGGGGAUAACUACUGGAAACGGUAGCUAAUACCGCAUACCAUCAGAUGUGCCCAGAUGGUAUUAGCUAGUGGGUGGGGUAAUGGCUCACCUAGGCGACGAUCCCUAGCUGGUCUGAGAGGAUGACCUGCCACACGGGAAGUGAGACACGGUCCAGAGUCCUACGGGAGGCGGCAGUUGGGAAUAGGGCACAAUGGGCGCAAGCCUGAUGCAGCCAAGCCGAGUGUGUGAAGAAGGCCUUAGGGUUGUAAAGCACUUUCAGCGAGGAGGCGUUACUCGCAGAAGAAGCACCGGCUAACUCCGUGCCAGCAGCCGCGGUAAUAC